rnacentral:rRNA from 1 species
UACGGGGGGGGCAAGCGUUGUUCGGAAUUACUGGGCGUAAAGGGUUCGUAGGUGGCCUGCUAAGUCAGACGUGAAAUCCCUCAGCUCAACUGGGGAACUGCGUCUGAGACUGGUGGGCUUGAGUGCAGGAGAGGAACGCGGAAUUCCAGGUGUAGCGGUGAAAUGCGUAGAUAUCGGGAGGAACAUCCGUGGCGAAGGCGGCCACCUGGACCAACAUUGACGCUGAGGCACGAAGGCGUGGGGAGCAAACAGG